rnacentral:rRNA from 1 species
GUAGUCCUGGCCGUAAACGAUGUCGACUUGGAGGUUGUGCCCUUGAGGCGUGGCUUCCGGAGCUAACGCGUUAAGUCGACCGCCUGGGGAGUACGGCCGCAAGGUUAAAACUCAAAUGAAUUGACGGGGGCCCGCACAAGCGGUGGAGCAUGUGGUUUAAUUCGAUGCAACGCGAAGAACCUUACCUGGUCUUGACAUCCACGGAAGUUUUCAGAGAUGAGAAUGUGCCUUCGGGAACCGUGAGACAGGUGCUGCAUGGCUGUCGUCAGCUCGUGUUGUGAAAUGUUGGGUUAAGUCCCGCAACGAGCGCAACCCUUAUCCUUUGUUGCCAGCGGUCCGGCCGGGAACUCAAAGGAGACUGCCAGUGAUAAACUGGAGGAAGGUGGGGAUGACGUCAAGUCAUCAUGGCCCUUACGACCAGGGCUACACACGUGCUACAAUGGCGCAUACAAAGAGAAGCGACCUCGCGAGAGCAAGCGGACCUCAUAAAGUGCGUCGUAGUCCGGAUUGGAGUCUGCAACUCGACUCCAUGAAGUCGGAAUCGCUAGUAAUCGUGGAUCAGAAUGCCACGGUGAAUACGUUCCCGGGCCCUGUACACACCGCCCGUCACACCAUGGGAGUGGGUUGCAAAAGAAGUAGGUAGCUUAACCUUCGGGAGGGCGCUUACCACUUUGUGAUUCAUGACUGGGGUGAAGUCGUAACAAGGUAACCGUAGGGGAACCUGCGGCUGGAUCACCUCC